CUCCGGUUGAUCCUGCGGGACCCGACUGCUAUCAGAGUGGGACUAGAGCCAUGCGAGUCAACAUAGCAAUAUGUGGCAUACGGCUCAGUAACACGUAGUCAACAUGCCCAGGGGACGCGGAUAACCUCGGGAAACUGAGGAUAAACCGCGAUAAGUCACUACUUCUGGAAUGGGUAAUGACUCAAAUCUAUAUGGCCCCUGGAUUGGACUGCGGCCGAUCAGGCUGUUGGUGAGGUAAUGGCCCACCAAACCUGUAACCGGUACGGGCUCUGAGAGGAGGAGCCCGGAGAUGGGCACUGAGACAAGGGCCCAGGCCCUAUGGGGCGCAGCAGGCGCGAAACCUCUGCAAUAGGCGAAAGCUUGACAGGGUUACUCUGAGUGAUUUCCGUUAAGGAGAUCUUUUGGCACCUCUAAAAAUGGUGCAGAAUAAGGGGUGGGCAAGUCUGGUGUCAGCCGCCGCGGUAAUACCAGCACCCCGAGUGGUCGGGACGUUUAUUGGGCCUAAAGCAUCCGUAGCCGGUUCUACAAGUCUUCCGUUAAAUCCACCUGCUUAACAGAUGGGCUGCGGAAGAUACUAUAGAGCUAGGAGGCGGGAGAGGCAAGCGGUACUCGAUGGGUAGGGGUAAAAUCCGUUGAUCCAUUGAAGACCACCAGUGGCGAAGGCGGCUUGCCAGAACGCGCUCGACGGUGAGGGAUGAAAGCUGGGGGAGCAAACCGGAUUAGAUACCCGGGUAGUCCCAGCUGUAAACGAUGCAGACUCGGUGAUGAGUUGGCUUAUUGCUAACUCAGUGCCGCAGGGAAGCCGUUAAGUUUGCCGCCUGGGGCGUACGGUCGCAAGACUGAAACUUAAAGGAUUUGGCGGGGGAGCA
rnacentral:rRNA from 1 species